GUGGGGUAGGGUUAGCUUUUGGUAACUGAAGAUUUCUUCAUGGAAAGAGUCUUAAUGUUAAAUGUGCCUAGAACUGGUAACUAAACAGCUGACAUUUGGAGGGAAUGUGGUGUAAAACUAUGUAAAUAUAAGCAAAAUCUGCACAUGAAAAUAUUUCACUUAGAAAAAGUGUUGCUAAAGAAAAAAAUUCGAAGGACAAGAGGUGUUGCCUGGGUUGCCAGUUUCUUUCGUGGCAGGGCAGGAAAUAGUGAGGUUGAGAGGCAGCAUCUGUAAGUAGAUGCUAAGAGGUACAUUUCUAAAUGAAGCCCUUGGGGAACAUCUGCCAGGGAUCUAGAGAGUGCUGGUUUCAUCCAUUGUUUUAAUUUCCUCCUUGGAUUGAGUAGAAACGUGGCUUCUUGUGGUGUUGAACCUUCCCCGACUUCUUUGCUUUGUUGCCAUCUAGCCUGCCCAGCACUGCCUAGGGAGCGCCUACCCACCCUGAUUUCUUCUGCCAGCUCCUACCCACCCUGAUUUCUUCUGCCACUUCUUUCUUUGGCAUUCAUUUUUCUUUCCCUGGACAGGAAGCUAGUUACCCGAGUGUAUCAGGAGCACCUAGGCUUGCCUUUGUCCAGGCCCAUUCCUCCUGGUAUCCUUGGGUGUGGAACUGCUGGACAGCUUCAGGAAGCAGAGCCAGGUGCCACUUUUCUGUGGCUUCCAGAUCCUCCCUACCUCCACCCCUAUGUGCCUCUGCCACAGUAAUUUCAGAAAAGCUUGGUACACCCUCUAGCAACAUCUUGGUUCAGAGAGUCUCUCUGGCUUGUGAGUUAACAGCUCAGCCAAAUGCUGUGUUGUCUCAGUGAGGCAACCACUGAACGAGAGGGUUGGUUGUUGGGCUGUCUCUGUGUGAGUCAGAGUAGACAACAUGUUCACUUCUUCCUGUCUGCUUUGCAAGGUGUCUCUGACUGAUCAAGGCAGGCAGGGAGUGGUAUAGUACUUCUGAAAGGAAGAAGUUCCCUAUUUAUCUGUUAAAAGACCAGAGGCAUGGGCAAGUGCUCAGGACCUCACUUCGGGAAGAGGGUCUGCUUCCUGAAGCCAGUGUAUAAGGAAAAGCUUCGACUGAAACCUGGUAUCUAAGGUACCAUGAACUAACACUCUAUCACACAGCCCAGGGCAAACAGUGGUAUAGAAAAGUCUAGAAGAAAACAUCACAUCAGUAUUUUAGAACCAUCCACCUUUACUGUCCCUGUAGCCCAAUCCAGAGCCUGGCUUUUAGAUCUGGCUGCGUACAGUGCCAAAUGCUCAGUUUACUUGUAAGAUCAGAGCCUUUCUUUCUGUGUUAAUUGAACACAUGCUCUGAGCUGUUUUGUUGAAGUAGAAAAUCUAGUAGAAAAUCACUGUAGAUCUGAUGACCUGGAAACCUCUGGAAAUGCCUUCGGGGUGGUUUUAUUUUUCCAGGUCACAGAUGCCUGAUUUAUAAGAUGAACAAUGAAAUCAGCUUUCUUUCUCUUCUGAUCUUAUUCCCUGGAUUUGAUGCAGCCCAUGUUCCAAAGCAAAGCUACAUAGAGACUUCAGGCUGAGGUCCUGGUGUCUUUAAGCAAAGGACACUCUUUCAGAUCCUCUCAGAGGCGGAUUUGUAACAGUUUCCACAUGAAUGUACUAAUCAUGUUGGGUGCCUUAUCGCUUUCCUAAUCUACAGUGCCUGUUAGCCCAGCCUCACUCCUUCCCUUAACCCUGAGAUCCCGUAGAUGGAGCGGGUGUAGACAAGAGGCUGGCUGGAGGAUCAUCAGUACAGUGAUUUGCAGAAAUCUUUUAUGGGCUUCAUUUUGGAAAAAUUUGUUUUUAGUAAAUGCUCAAAUUUGGUGGGAAGUAAUUUGAAUGUAUUUGAUUGUAUUGUCCUCAUUACAAUUGUUAAUUAGACACGUUCUACAUGACAGUAGUACUCAGGGGAGUUUUCUCCCUGGGCUGCUAAUAUCUGGGUGUAAUCUCUGAAACUGUAGGUCCAGUGAGGCGGCGUGAAAAGUUAGCAAAGCCACCAUCUGCUGGUGGUUUAAGCCAAGGCCUCUCUUCUUCGCCACUGACUUGCUAUGUUAUCCUUUCUCUUGUAACAAACCCAUCCCAGAGAUGAGGCCUUUAAUCAUCCCAAGAACCUCCUGGGCUAAGUAUCUGACAGUCUCACAUCUCAACAUCGUGUAUUAAGUGUCCAGAACAUCAGCUCAGGAGGACACGCUGAAACUCUCACUCUGGGCGAGUCCUGAUAAAACAGGCUCCUAAUACUGACCUACCUCAAGGGCAGUUCUGAGGUGAUUAGAGCCUUUUCUUUUUUUAAGCAAGUGUUUGGAGAUGCAUGGCAGAGGUUUUCCUGCAGACUUGUAAAGAGC
rnacentral:lncRNA from 1 species